GAGACAGGCCUUACAAAACAUACAGUCAUGGAACCAGACACAUGCAAAUCCUCCCUGCAGCUCAGCCACAUCCAUCCAGGUAGCGCUGUCCCACAAAGAACUGCUGAGGGAAUGUCUGGGCCCUGACUUGGCUGGCAAACUUGAAAGAGAUGGAACAAAAGCACUAAACGAAGCCGACAUUCACAUGAAUGACCUUAAACAGGAGCUUAAGAAUGUGGAGGAGAACAUAAAGCAGGAAGCUCAAAGGUUGUCACUGGAAGCUCGAAGCAUUCAGCUGGAUUCACAGGUUUCUGCUGCGACACCGUCAACAAAGGAGUCUGAACAGUCUGAAUUUAUUUCUUCUUCAUCGUUUAUCACGGAGAGCUUUGAAAUGACAGAUGGCAGUCAGCAGGCUAAGGUACAGCCAUCUGAAAACCUUGACAGCGAGAUCCCUCUAUGUGUAAUCUCAGAAACUACAACUGAAACAGAAAUUCACACUGCAAGAAAAUCACUACAAGCAUUAGCGACUGAAACUGAACAGAUUGAUUUCCAAACAACUGUACUAUUAACCACAGAGAUGCUACCUGAACCAGAAACAGGAGUAUAUGAAUCUGCUCUUCCUACAAGCAGCCAUGGUGCAAAUGAAAUUGAAAGUGAGAAUUUUGUUUAUGUUUCUUUGGAAACAAAGUCUGAUAAUGAUGAUAUAGCAGAUGAAAAGAUGCCAAUUUCCUCAUCUGCAGCUGUUCACAGCUUGGAAACCACAGUACAAGACACAGACUUGGAAUUACACA
ensembl:lncRNA